UGGAGUAUGCAUGUCAGUCCAGAAGUUGGUGGUAUAACUGUAAUGUAACUCCACUGAAGAACACAACGUACCUGCACAGACAAGCAUUCUUCAUCAGAGCACGAGAAAGUAAAAGUAACAAGCCCUCCACCUAAAGUGUUCCUUGUUAACAAGAAAUCCUGAAGAUAUCAGUGGAGAGACAGGAGAUGCAUUAACCUCUGUGAACUCUCAACUGAGGGAGUCUGACAGUGAAUUAAUUGGUAUUCAUGCUUAUUGUGAAAUCAUUACUGAGUAUGUUCGAAUGCCUCUUACUUUAAGAAUCUGCAUAACUUCAACAAAAAGGUUAUGUAA